GAUGAACGCUGGCGGCGUGCCUAAUACAUGCAAGUCGAGCGAACGGACGAGAAGCUUGCUUUUCUGAUGUUAGCGGCGGACGGGUGAGUAACACGUGGAUAACCUACCUAUAAGACUGGGAUAACUUCGGGAAACCGGAGCUAAUACCGGAUAAUAUUUUGAACCGCAUGGUUCAAAAGUGAAAGACGGUCUUGCUGUCACUUAUAGAUGGAUCCGCGCUGCAUUAGCUAGUUGGUAAGGUAACGGCUCACCAAGGCAACGAUGCAUAGCCGACCUGAGCGGGUGAUCGGCCACACUGGAACUGCAACACGGUCCAGACUCCUACGGGAGGCAGCAGUAGGGAAUCUUCCGCAAUGGGCGAAAGCCUGACGGAGCAACGCCGCUUGAGUGAUGAAGGUCUUCGGAUCGUAAAACUCUGUUAUUAGGGAAGAACAUAUGUGUAAGUAACUGUGCACAUCUUGACGGUACCUAAUCAGAAAGCCACGGCUAACUACGUG
rnacentral:rRNA from 1 species